UAGUACGGCGAGUGAAGCGGGAAGAGCUCAAGCUUAAAAUCUCCGUGCAAGUUUUGCGCGGCGAAAUGUAGUCUAUAGAGGCGUGGUCAGCGUGAACACUUGGGGCAAGUUCCUUGGAAGAGGACAGCAUGGAGGGUGAUACUCCCGUUCAUCCCUGAGUUGCUCGUGCGUACGACCCGUUUUCUUUGAGUCGCGUUGUUUGGGAAUGCAGCGCAAAGUAGGUGGUAAAUUCCAUCUAAAGCUAAAUAUUGGUGCGAGACCGAUAGCGAACAAGUACCGUGAGGGAAAGAUGAAAAGAACUUUGAAAAGAGAGUUAAAGAGUACCUGAAACUGCUGAAAGGGAACCGAAUCGUUUCCAGUGUCUAUAAUCUGUGGCAUAUUUCAUUGGCGAGUGUGUGCGUGCGUGUGCUGUGGCAGUGGCUUUUUUGGCUGCGCUCGGUGUGUGUGCUGUGUGUGCUUGCUGGUGCCCUGUGCUGCGGUGGGACGUCAAGGUCAGUUCGUAUGCUGCGGGAAAUGGCUGCCGAGGAGGUAGGGCUUACGCUUGCGUUUGUCUGUUAUAUCUUGGUGGACGAGUAGUCGCGGUUGGGACUGAGGUGCCUACAACGUGCUUUUGAGUGUGUCUGUGUCUCCGUGUGCGCCGUGUGCGGAUAGCUUGCUAUGCGUGUGUGGUUGUGUGUGGAUUGAUGCGGGCUUUAACUUGUUGCCGUUC
rnacentral:rRNA from 1 species